GAGAGGAGGAGGAGGAGGGGGAAACAAAGAGCCUGCUAGAGAGGAGGGGGGAGAGGCACAAAGAGGUAGGGGGAGGCGAGAGAAAGAGGGAGAGACCCCCGCCCACCUCCCCUCUUUUCCCUGCUGGCCAAGCCCCCUUUCUCCCUCCCCCCUCCCCUUCACCCCGACCCCUCUCUUUUUCUUUCUUGCCGAUUCUCUCUCUCUCUCGGUUCCUUUGCUGUAACCUGAUCCCUUCUGCCCAGUGUGGCUCUUGGGCGCACAAAGAUCCCCCUCUCUUUCCCCUUUUUC